UACGUAGGUGGCAAGCGUUGUCCGGAAUUAUUGGGCGUAAAGCGCGCGCAGGCGGCCUCUUAAGUCUGAUGUGAAAGCCCCCGGCUCAACCGGGGAGGGCCAUUGGAAACUGGGAGGCUUGAGUAUAGGAGAGAAGAGUGGAAUUCCACGUGUAGCGGUGAAAUGACGUAGAGAUGUGGAGGAACACCAGUGGCGAAGGCGACUCUUUGGCCUAUAACUGACGCUGAGGCGCGAAAGCGUGGGGAGCAAACAGGAUAGAAAC
rnacentral:rRNA from 1 species